CCCUUAGAUGUUCUGGGCCGCACGCGUGCUACACUGAACGGUUCAAUGGGUAAGGUAGUGCGAAAGCAUGACCUAAUCUCGAAAUCCGUUCGUGCUGGGGAUAGAAGCUUGCAAUUAUCCUUCUUGAACGAGGAAUACCUUGUAAGCGUGAGUCAUCAUCUCACGCUGAAUACGUCCCUGCCCUUUGUACACACCGCCCGUCGCUCCUACCGAUUGAGUGUUCCGGUGAGGCUUUGGGAGAAUGACCUCAACAUGAGUUUAUCGUGUUUUGCCGUUUGAACUUAGUCAAACCUUAUCACUUAGAGGAAGGAGAAGUCGUAACA
rnacentral:rRNA from 1 species